UGCUUCCGUUCCAUUUCAUAAAUUUGGAAUGUGAUCAAUCAAUCUAGCCCUUGGUGUAGUCCUCAUCAACGUUACAUAUGGCAAAGGGGUAAGUGGGCAACGUGCCAAGGAUAGCACCGGUUCAAACAAUGACAAGUGUAAAUGAACCGUUUGCGAGAAGGCUUCAAAUUUUCCACACAUAAGAUUAGAACGGUGAGUCAUCCUGUCCUUCAUGUGAUACCCAUCAUUAAUCCAUGUAGGAUUAUCUAGCAUUGCAUAUUACUAGUGUGGAAAUUUGUGGUUUAAACUGAUUAAAUGUGUUUGACUCAGAUUUUAAAAUGUUUGUAUAUUAUUAUUUUUAUAAAAUAAGAGUGACCGCGGAUGAAAAAACAUAAACAUUCCAACUACGCUGCUGAUAUUCUUAUGAGAAUCUAAAGCAGACCAUCCCAAAUAUCAUAAAAAAGAUAUCAAAGCAAAAUAAACAAAAUGGGAGGUUUAUGCCAAGACCCAUUUGAAAAAUUACAGAAACCUAUAACUGGGAAGAGCAUUUCAAUUAUGAAGGAAUGCGUUCUUAGCAAAAAGAGGGACGAAAUCCCACCAAGUAAAUCUAGCCUGGGAAGAGGCCACAUCAUUAACUAAAGCAUAUGUACCAAAGUUUUCUUCUCUGUAAAUACAAGAGGAAAACAAAACUAUAUGGUUCUGUUUACAAAAAAAUAAGCAAUUUUUCCAACAUUGGCAGACGAACCAAGGAAUAACGGACGAGCUGCUUAGCGCUUAAACCAACAACAUAGAGUUAGACUCUAGCCAGAUUUUCUUCCAAUUCUUACUGAAAGCAAUUUCAAGAGCAAGAAUGACUACAAAAAGUUCAAGAUAUAGAGAGGAUUGAAUCCCAAUAUAGGAAGAGAAACACCCCAACAAAGCGCCCAAGUGAUCACGAAAAAUACCGCCACUCCCCGAAUGACCAGGUGAGCCCCUAGUUAGUCCAUCAGUAUUGCAUUUGAUGGUUCCAUGCCACGGAGGACCCAAUCAACCCGCUUGAUGAGGGAAGGCUUAGGAGGAUGGACAUUCACAGCAAAGGACUUCAAUAGGGUGAAUUCCAGAAUAGAGUGUCCCAAGUGGCCCUUAGAGAGCGUUCCAACAAGAGAGGUAGUUGCAGAAAUAGAGAGAGUAGCACUAUGCAAAUUAAUAUGCUUGUUAUGAAAAUUUACCUCCAAAGGUAUUGAUAAUGAGAGCAAGAAUGACAUGGUGGGCUUGGCCUCUCCACUUUCUGUUUAGAACAUUAAGGACCGAAAAUCAAGAGGAGAAAUCUACAGGGCAGUACAACUUCUGUUGCAGCCUUGAAACAAAGUCACAGUUAAGAAAGAGGUGAGUUGAGCUUUCCUCACACUUUUCACAACCCAGGACGCUUAAGCUUAUCAUCAGUUGGCAUCUUAUGAGAAGAAGCCUCCAAAGUAAGAAAGACUUUGAGGGAUCAGAUUUUUUUUGCCCAAUGAACAUCCCCAAGAGGCUUCAGAUGGGGAAGUCAAGUUGAUACUCGUGACAUAUACUAAUGUUUUUAGGAGUCUGAUUAUUCUUUUUAAUUAAUUAUGAUUUUAUUAUUUUUUUAGUUAUUUUAAUAAUUAAUUUAUAAUUUAAUAAAUUAUUUUUCCAGC
rnacentral:lncRNA from 1 species